GCUGGGCAUGGUGGCGCAUGCCUGUAAUCCCAGCUGCUUGGGAGGCUGAGGCAGGAGAAUCACUUGAACCCAGGAGGCAGAGACUGCAGUGAGCUGAGAUCACGCCACUGCCCUCCAGCCUGGGUGACAGUGAGACUCUGUCUCAA
ensembl:misc_RNA Metazoa_SRP Metazoan signal recognition particle RNA